AAUGCCCAUUAGAAGGGCCAUAGCUCAGUGGCCCAGCACAUGCUUUCCAUGCAAAAAGUCCCAGAUUCGAUCCCUGACAUCUCCAGGUAGGACUGAGAAAGACUCCUGCCUGAAACCCUGGAGAGAGAAUGUAGAGCAGACAAAAUUGAGUUAGAUGGUCCAAUGUGGUCUAAGGCAGUGGGGAUAGCCUGAAACAGACUCCUGGGUGAAGGAAAAAGACGCCUGUAGCAGGUUUUGCUGCUGAGAGCAGCAGUCAGUUAGUGCGGCCACUUGAGUCACAGCUUGUUGAUCCUGAGGAGGCAAAACUAGAAAGUGAGGUUCAGAAAGGAGGCCCUGUGCACGAGGAGGAGGAGGGCAUGAAGCAGUGCCAGUUGCCCACAGCCACAUCUGCAGAACAGCAAGUACCAUGUUUGGCUUUGAGAAAGCUUGUACAUUUGUGAGCCAGAGUGGGAAAAAUGUUGUUGUACGAUGCAAUUACUGCCUUCCAAGGAUCAAGAAUCUGAGAUCAGCUGUUUCCUCGUCAUCCAAUGUGAAGAAACAUUUUGAGAGGGCACACCCUGAGAAGCUGAGAGCAAUUGAAGAAGCAAUAAAGGCAAGGAGACAUAUAAAGUCAGAGCACCCUAGCAAGGGAGCCUGCUCCACGAGCUAGAGGAAGCCCCAGCUAACGAAGCGUCAAGAUACACAAUGGAAGCCUUGUUGAAAGCUGAAAUAAAGAUGGGUGUACUUAAUGAGGACAGUGAUCAGUCUUCAGAUAAAGACCAGGAAGGAGAUGACUUAGAAGAUGACUUCUUUAACUUUCUGCCCCAGGGCAAGAAGUCAGCAGUGGACACUGCUGAGGAGGAACUGGUGAGGUACCUGAGGUCUCCCAGCAGGGAAGUGUCAUCACUCCAUGGCUUUCCACGUGUGCUGCGGUGUUUUUUGCAGCACAACACAGGCAUGCCUUCAAGCGCCGCAGUAGAACGCCUGUUCAGUACUGGUGGCAACGUAAUGACUGUAAAAAGACAUGCCUUGUCUGACAUGCUCUUUGAGCAUCUUGUUCUUUUGAGACAUAACAGAAACAUAUUAUAAAAGCAUUUCAAGUGUAAAAUUUGAUUUCAAGAGUUGGGGUAUCUUCAUUGCUUGGGGGGAUGUGAGAUUCUGUUAUGCCAUUAUGUUAAUCUUAUGGAUAAUUUUUUUUAUUCUACUACCCCCUGUGUGUGUGUGUUUAUUUUUAAUAUUGUUUUAGGCUUCUUAGAUGUGCAGCAGCCAAGGCCAGCACCUUGUAGGAGUUUUUUUUAAAAAAGUAACUGAAAUGUAAUUGUAGUGAUUACUUUUGAGAAAAAGUAAUCAGUUACUUUCAGAGCAAUUGUAAUUGUAACGGUGAUUACUACUUUUUUGGGCCAAGUAAUUGUAACUAUAAUUUAUUACUUUUUAAAAGUAAUCUUCCAAGCUCUGCUUAGGCUACAAUCCUGCAUUCAUUUUUAAAAAAUGAAAUGUCUCAAUGUGCCAUCCUGCAGUGAAGCCUCAGAUUUACAGGGACAUGCAGAACUAUUUGGUUUUUAUUUAUUCCCUUCCUGAAUGUGCAGAAUCUCAGAUCUCAACCAACAUGAAGGAAAGGUCACCAAUGUAAAAGUGAUAUGUUAACAUUCAUCUUGCAGAGACCAUAUGUGAUGCAGGCCUGAACCCAGAAAGCCUGUCUUCCUCUCGCAUAACACUAGAACUCGUGGACAUUCAAAGAAGCUGAAUGUUGCAAGAUUCAGGACACUCAAAUGGCAUGGCAUAUAACGUCAGUCAGGGUCCUAUUUUUUUCAAUCUGCAUGUUGCCAGAAGGCUUGUCUCAUCCCAGGCAGCAACAGCCAUCAACAGUUCGUACUGUUUCAGCAUACCUUGACCCUUUAUAGUCUCCUUUAAUAAAACUCAAUUAUUUGA